rnacentral:rRNA from 1 species
CAAUUAGCUACGUAGUGACCUGCGGAAGGAUCAUUACAAGUGAGGCUACCGAACGUUGGAAACAGCGGUUAGGAGCUUACACCCACCCGUGUCUACAUACUAUUGUUGCUUUGGCGGGCCGUGGCCUCCACUGCGGGCUCUGCUCGUGUGUGCCCGCCAGAGAACCAAACUCUGAAUGUUAGUGAUGUCUGAGUACUAUCUAAUAGUUAAAACUUUCAACAACGGAUCUCUUGGUUCUGGCAUCGAUGAAGAACGCAGCGAAAUGCGAUAAGUAAUGUGAAUUGCAGAAUUCAGUGAAUCAUCGAAUCUUUGAACGCACAUUGCGCCCUGUGGUAUUCCGCAGGGCAUGCCUGUUCGAGCGUCAUUUAACCACUCACGCCUAGCGUGGUAUUGGGGCACGCGGUCUCCGCGGCCCUCAAAAUUAGUGGCGGCGCCGGUGGGCUCUAAGCGUAGUACAUACUCCCGCUAUAGAGUUCCCCCGGUGGCUCGCCAGAACCCCCAAUUUUUACAGGUUGACCUCGGAUCAGGUAGGGAUACCCGCUGAACUUAAGCAUAUCA